rnacentral:lncRNA from 1 species
UAUUGUUGCAGACAGACAGCAGGACACCAGCACACACACUCAGCAGCUGCCCUCGUGGGUAUUUGUUAUAAGGCUGUUGAGCUCCAAGGGCUCCUUUUGGGAGGACCAUGCUGUUCUGGUUCGUCUUGGAGUCUGCGUGUGGGAUUCUUACGGUUCUCUGAUGGACCCAGUCACGCCAGCCAGCAUGGCACAGAAGCAAUGUGCAGUUCAACGGAGAAGAGCCACGGCGCUAUGUGGCUUGUCUCCGGAACGUCCUCAUCUGGGGAACGCCACCUCAGCACCCCCUCAGCGCCCCAAAGCUUCUGUCUGUGGUUGUUUCCUGUGCGAGUACAACUCGGAGCAUUCAAGCUGUUGUACCAGACUCAUCUUGCCCAGUGUCAGAAUCUCUUGUUCAAGACAGGCUGGGUGUGAAGCAUGCCUAUAGUCCUGGCACAUCAGGAGCUCAAGGCCGGUCCAGCUACUUGAGACCCGUGUGAGAGCUUAGAAGGUAAAGGUGCUUGCUGCUGUGCUUGACAGCGUGACGGAAAACAAGAAUGGACCCCUACAUGUUGUUCUUGGAUCUCCAUACAUGUUCCCAUGGACCCCCAAUAAAUAAAAUGUAAUUAAAAAAAAAA